UACGUAGGUGGCAAGCGUUGUCCGGAAUUAUUGGGCGUAAAGCGCGCGCAGGCGGUCCUUUAAGUCUGAUGUGAAAGCCCACGGCUCAACCGUGGAGGGUCAUUGGAAACUGGGGAACUUGAGUGCAGAAGAGGAAAGUGGAAUUCCAAGUGUAGCGGUGAAAUGCGUAGAGAUUUGGAGGAACACCAGUGGCGAAGGCGACUUUCUGGUCUGUAACUGACACUGAGGCGCGAAAGCGUGGGGAGCAAACAGG
rnacentral:rRNA from 1 species